AAUCAACGCUGGCGGCGUGCCUCAGACAUGCAAGUCGAACGCGAAAGGCCCCUUCGGGGGCCGGAGUAGAGUGGCGCACGGGUGAGUAACACGUGGGUAAUCUACCUCUGGGUGGGGAAUAACAGUCGGAAACGGCUGCUAAUACCGCAUAAUGCAGCGGCAUCACAUGAUGACAGUUGUUAAAGCGGGGGAUCGUAAGACCUCGCGCCUAGAGAGGAGCCCGCGGCGGAUUAGCUAGUUGGUAGGGUAACGGCCUACCAAGGCGACGAUCCGUAGCCGGCCUGAGAGGGCGGACGGCCACACUGGCACUGACAUACGGGCCAGACUCCUACGGGAGGCAGCAGUCGGGAAUUUUGGGCAAUGGGCGAAAGCCUGACCCAGCAACGCCGCGUGAAGGAUGAAGCUUCUCGGAGUGUAAACUUCCUUUUCUGGGGGAUGAAGACAGUGACAGUACCCCAGGAAGAAGGACCGGCUAACUACGUGCCAGCAGCCGCCG
rnacentral:rRNA from 1 species